GCAGUCGUGACCGAGUGGUUAAGGCGAUGAACUAGAAAACUAUUGGGGUCUCCCCGCACAAGUACGAAUCCUGUCGACUGCG
rnacentral:tRNA from 2 species